rnacentral:rRNA from 1 species
UGGGGAAUAUUGGACAAUGGGCGAAAGCCUGAUCCAGCCAUGCCGCGUGUAUGAAGAAGGCCUUCGGGUUGUAAAGUACUUUCAGCGGGGAGGAAGGCGAUAAGGUUAAUAACCUUGUCGAUUGACGUUACCCGCAGAAGAAGCACCGGCUAACUCCGUGCCAGCAGCCGCGGUAAUACGGAGGGUGCAAGCGUUAAUCGGAAUUACUGGGCGUAAAGCGCACGCAGGCGGUCUGUCAAGUCGGAUGUGAAAUCCCCGGGCUCAACCUGGGAACUGCAUUCGAAACUGGCAGGCUAGAGUCUUGUAGAGGGGGGUAGAAUUCCAGGUGUAGCGGUGAAAUGCGUAGAGAUCUGGAGGAAUACCGGUGGCGAAGGCGGCCCCCUGGACAAAGACUGACGCUCAGGUGCGAAAGCGUGGGGAGCAAACA